UUAAUUAUUCCAUUUCCAUUCACACUGAAUACUACAGAACAUUUGUUUAUAAGAUGCUUGCAGGCUCAAAAUUAAAUUUAGACAUAUCUUACCAAUUUGGGGAGAUAAGCAGAAAUAUUAAUUGCAUCAUACCCUAUGUCAGCCAGCUUUAAGAUUAAAUUAGAAGGCAUCUUCACCAUUUAGAGAAAUUGGCUAUUAAGAAAACCAUGGGGUUUAGAUGUUGCUUUUUCCUUCUAAGAAAAAUGAAAAUAAAGAGCAGACCGACAUCAAUGCCUGUUCCUCCCCUCUCCUCAAAAUGAGGUAUGUGUCUUGAAUGAGAGAAAGCCUCAAAGAAAAAUGUGAAAAAAACGUUUCUCAAUGGAUCAUGCUGGUCCUAGAACAGGACAUUACCAUGAAUAUGCAUGAAUGGCAUGAGUCAAGCUACACUCAGGAAUAAGCAUCAGCUUUCACUUGCCAUUUUCUGAAGCCUUGCAGUCAGACUGCCAAGACAGCAACUGAAUAACAAGGUUUUUAUAUGAAUGCAGGGGGUAGAUUAAUGCUGUUUUGGACUAACUGGAGGAACCAUCUUCAAUUCAGCUUGCCUGAAGGAUGUGCUGCUUCUCUAUUUGGCCAACUCAUAAAAGCAGUAACAAACAAUGAAUAAAAAGAGACUAUGUGUUUAAAUUCAAAACCCCUGAGCACCACUGUCAGUUGUAAGUUUUGAUAAUUUCUAUGGGAAGAAAAAGAAAAAAAAUCAGGACAAGGUCUUUGCAAACUGGUUGCUGUCAACUAAAAUGAGAAGUUAGAUAAAACUCCCACAUGCCAGAUGGUAGAUCACAAUAAAUGCUCAGGCUGUUAGAUGCACAACAAGCGACAAACGCAUUGAAAUACACCAUUAAAAGCAAACCCAAAAUAGAAAGGAUAUUUUAAUAAGAAGUUAUUGUUUGAGGGAAAGAUCCUCAUUAAGCUCAUCAGAAUCGGAAACCGUACAUGGAGGGUUUUUUACUUUCCUCACCACCUCACAUAAGCAUGAGGAACAAUGAACAAUUUUAGCAGAAUUAUGUUAGGCUAAGGGCUACUGUCAGUGAGAGCCUUGGAGUUCACUAUUUAGACAUCACAACUCUUUCUGCCAAGUUACUUAAAAAAAUAUUGUUAAAGGAUACCAGGGAAUUGUUUACUCAAACCACUACUGUUUCCUCAACACAGAUGCAAGAAAAAGUUAUAUUAAGAAGAUAAACAGCUGCUACUGUAUGCUGUUUAAAUGGCAACAAAAGCAUCUAAGGGCCAUAAAGGGAAUAGUGAGGGAAUUAAAAAGCAUUUUUAUGCAUGAAGAUGGCUAACAUCCGUACAUUCAUUAAAGUGGUAUCAACCAUGCUUUUAAUUAAAAGUUAGUGACAGAAACUUAAAUAUGAUUAAUGAAACCUAGCAGCCUACCACAAGUCUGCUCUAUCAAAAGCAAGAAGCACAGCAAGCUGCAUUUCCAGCCCUUGCUUGUUCCAUUUCUCUUUCCUCCUCAGAGAUGCUGCCACAACCAGAACAUGUUGUGAGGACCAUGCAGCAACAUUCCCGUGAAAAACAGCAAGCCAGAACAAGCCUGCAGCCGUGCUUUCAUGCUUGGCCAUUCUUUAUUUUGUAUACCCCGAGGAGACACUGCAAUUACUGAGCAGCCUGGGGGCCAAGAUGACAAGCUGGUUACCUGUCAGCAAAACCGGCUAUAUGGCAAUCUAUCGCCUGUUGUGGGCACGAGGUCUGCCAGAGGCUGGGGAAAAGGCUGCCCUACAAACAGCAGUCUCCUGUUCAACAGUGGAAAAAAAUCACUCAGAAACUAGUGCCGAACUCUGCAACGCAGUCAGUCUUCUUGUAUUACUCGGGAGCACAACGCAGUCGUGACAAAAAUAAACUAAGCGAUAAAAAUACAGCACGAGCAAAAAGAUGUGGGCACGGGGAGGGAAUUAGUACGCAAGAGGAAGAUAAGGAGUCUUACAGGCCACAGACAUUUCAACACACAAUCAAACCGCCUGCUAUUUAAGUCCUGAUGCAUGUGAAAACUAAUCUAUUGCUGUUGUCCCGUCAAACUGCUGUCACGUACCAAGCUAAGCGCGCGCAGAUUAUGCCUUCAAAGACAUUUUCUGGCACCGUGUUUCCCCCUUAGCUGCUUCCAGACACACGGAGCGCACAGAAGAUGGAAGCCCUCACCUCGCAGCAGGAUGCAUCGCCCCGCGGCUUCUGUUCUGCUCUGCAAACACACACCGCCACCAGCAACCAGCCCCUUGUUACGGCCCGGUGGUUCCAGUUCUGUGUCCUCACUCUCGAGGGCUCCCCUGCACCUCCCGGAGCCCUGCUCCCGCUUCUGCUCCUUUCCAGGUCCCAGCCCCAGUACACCUGUUCAUUCUGUACAGUUCCUUCGAGAGACAAAGCUCCAAGCGCCAGGCAGAUUAUACUUAGAAGCUAUCCAUGGUACAAAGAGACACCAUUUUUUUUUAUUAUCAUUAUUUGGUUUUUAGAGAUGUGGACAAAUUACCUUUCCCAAAAGUUAAAUCUGAGAGCUGAAUGUUUCGUAAGGUUUAGAGUCAGAGAGAAAACUAUGCAUGGGAGUGCCUUGCAAGGGCAGCCAGAACCAGAACAAAGCCUGGGGCUCCAGGCAGAACCCAGCAGAUCUGGAAAGGCGAUAAAUGAUAAAUGCCUGCCUAGCUGAGAGGUGUCAGGUGCAAGAAUGCAAGAGGAAGAUGAUUAAAACCCUCCUCAGAGAACACAUCGCCUUCUGGUUCUCUGCAAGUCCUUAGUUGUGCCCCACUACAGAACACGGCAAUUUGCUUGUGUUAAGGGGAAGAAUUUUGCAAGGGAUUAAAACAAACAAGCAAACAAAAAGACAGCAUCCAGCCAAGUGCACAGCAAACGCUGUCACGUUUCCACAGUCAACAUGUGCGCAGUGUGCCCCACUUUUUGAUGCUUCAGGUCUGAUUUUCAGAAGCACCGAGUGUUCAGGCCUCCCACUGAUUUAAUCUGGAACUGCAGAUUCUCUGCCCCUCUGAAGAAUCAGGCCAAAGGCAGCACACUGAACAGGUCACCCCAAGUCAGACGGUUCUUUGAAAAGGUUGUCCUAGAGGUUUACAAAGAGCAACACUUACUUCUCACCCCCCACCCCCCCUUCAGCGUUUGAAUAGAACCGAAAUAAAUAGCCUAAAGAGCUCCAACAGAUGGAGGAGGGCUUUUGAUUAUAAAAUAAAUUCUGACUCACAAUUUAGUUCUCUGGAUGUAAAAAAAAGAAAAAAAAAGUAUAUGAAUAGUGCUGGAAAGAAUGGAGCAGAGAUAAAGGGAGGUUAUAUGGAAAAGCAGCGAAAUAGCUGAACUGAUUUACCUACUCCUUUCUAACGUCUGUCAGGAAAAUUCAGUUUGGUUUUGCUGUAGUGCUGAUGAAAGAAAACAAGACCACUAGUGGACUCAUGACAUUUUCCUGUGAUAGAUUCCCUGGAAAAAUCCUGCUGACUGAACAGUAUUUUUGAAGAAUAUUUUUAAAUUGGACCAUUAACAACUUAAAGUGGCGGGAAAACUUCUUCAGCUAAA